AAAAAAGGAGGGGGAAGGGGUUUCCUUUCUCUCUCCCCAUUCUGCUCGCGGUUUUGUUCUUUAUUUCCGUCGAAACUCCACAGAAACGCUUUCUACGCAAGCUACUAUGUUAUAGCAAGGGUAGCGGCUCAGGGAGAGGAGGAGUCUGCCUCUCGGCCCUGUCAUUUCCAUGAGAGUGGCUGUUGCAAUGUCUAGCUCGCUCUGAGUGGAAGCAGUUAGUUUUGCUUGGCUGUGGUUGUGGCUUUGCAUGGCUGGGUCAAUCUAGAGUUCUCUGGACAUUCACUUGGCUUCCUACUGUAACGGCAUACUGAAGCGACACGAGAGUAAAAAAAAUUAGUUUGUCAUCUAUCGAUACCCUAACAGUUUCAUCUCUUUAGUUAUUGGUAUUGUUUUAUCUUCGCAUUUUAUGUAAUGUUCGUGCUUGUUUUACCAAGCAAUUAAAGUGUUAAACAUAAUACAAUAAACAUUUCUGGAUUAAA